ACGGGAAAACUUUUCCACUCCUAUGGUUUUGGCAACCGGAUGGUCCUUCCCUGGCUGGACCCUGCCGUCUCCGGGGCUGCUGGAGCUGAGACCUGGGGACCUUGGACAAAAAGCAGGCAGAAGGUCAGAAUUCUUAGCAUGUCAGUUUCCUGAAUCUCUGCCUGGGUCCCAUGGAAGCAACAGUGGAGGGAAACCACAGGAAAGAACCCAGGACUGGCCCUGUGCGCCUGUGGUUCGAGCCGGCUGCAUGGACUGGAGGGUUCGCGGUUCUCACCAGACAGGCAUCUGUUAGACGACUCUGAGGACACAAUUACCAAGGCUUUGACUGGAUUGUCACAUUUGAGAGAGAUGUACAUGGACACAGAUAUGACCAGACAGCUUUAAAGAACAAGGUUGACUUUAUGGAGCCAAUGAAACCCCGUGGGAAGAUAGGUCUGGUGCCUUGAUUGCAUGGUUUUCAGCAGCCUUACUAAUCAAGUACGGAAGGUUACUCAGGUGCAGGAACCUCAGAAUAUUUGGGGGCCUUGAUAAGAGAAGAAAAUUCACCCAAAGCCAUAGGUAUUGCAGGCCUCACUUUGGGAGCCCACCUGAAAGAACACCUCCUGAAAUGAAACUUGACCUAUCUUGGGACUGAGUGAUGCGUUCAGUGAGUUGGAGCAGUCAGUUGAGCUUCUGGACUACUGUGAAACUUGUUUGAAGUUUCAAAGGUGGGACUGAAGGGGGACAAAAUAUACCAGUCCAAAAUGGACCUCUUGGGCAUAUCGAUUGUUUUGGGCUGGCUGAUGAGAAGCAGAGCCACGGGCAGAGCUCUGAACACCGAGCGGAAGCUGCCCUGUAGGAAGGGGCAUUUGCAGGCCGUGCAAGGGGAAUCUCCUUCGGGAAGGGCUUCUCCCUCUGCACCAGGAAGAGGAGAUGUCCAAAUGUCUGGGCACUGUUCCCAGUGGAGAAGGCAGGGCUUAAACCUGGUACCAGCCUGACCCUGUUUACUGUGCUUGCCCUGCUCACCUCUGGUCUGGUAACUGCCUCCCUGCCCCCACCCUCCUUUGUCUGUAGCUGAAGAUUGUAUUUAAGGUGAUGGCUUUUGCCAUUUAGGAGAGUUACUACAUUUUCCUGGGUCUCCCCCAUGUAUAUGGAGACAUACGUGUUAUUAAACUUUUUGUUUGCUUUUCUCCUGUUAAUUUGUUUUAUAUCAAUUUGGUUAUUAGAACUGCCAAGAACCUAGAAAAGAAG